GAUGAACGCUGGCGGCGUGCCUAAUACAUGCAAGUCGAGCGAACGGACGAGAAGCUUGCUUCUCUGAUGUUAGCGGCGGACGGGUGAGGAACACGUGGAUAACCUACCUAUAAGACUGGGAUAACUUCGGGAAACCGGAGCUAAUACCGGAUAAUAUCUUGAACCGCAUGGUUCAAAAGUGAAAGACGGUCUUGCUGUCACUUAUAGAUGGAUCCGCGCUGCAUUAGCUAGUUGGUAAGGUAACGGCUUACCAAGGCAACGAUGCAUAGCCGACCUGAGAGGGUGAUGCGCCACACUGGAACUGAGACGCGGUCCAGACUCCUACGGGAGGCCGCAGUAGGGAAUCUUCCGCACUGGGCGAAAUCCUGACGGAGCAACGCCACGUUGAUGAUGAAGGUCUUCGGAUCGUAUAACUCUGUUAUUAGGGAAGAACAUAUGUGUAAGUAACUGUGCACAUCUUGACGGUACCUACUCAGAAAGCCACGGCUAACUACGUG
rnacentral:rRNA from 1 species